rnacentral:rRNA from 1 species
GGGGCAGCGGGGGAGUAGCAAUACUCCCGCCCGUUGACCGGCGCACGGGUGAGUAACACGUAUGAAACCUGCCCGUAGCAGGGGGAUAAGCGGAAGAAAUUCCGUCUUUUACCGCGUAACAACCCUUGGAGGCAUCUCCUCGGGUUUAAAGGGAGCGAUUCCGGCUACGGAUGGUCAUGCGUCGCAUUAGCUUGUUGGCGGGGUAACGGCCCACCAAGGCGACGAUGCGUAGGGGUUCUGAGAGGAAGGUCCCCCACACUGGUACUGAGACACGGACCAGACUCCUACGGGAGGCAGCAGUGAGGAAUAUUGGUCAAUGGCCGCAGGGCUGAACCAGCCAAGUCGCGUGAGGGAUGACGGUCCUAUGGAUUGUAAACCUCUUUUGUCAGGGAGCAAAGGGCGCCACGUGUGGCGUUUUGCGAGUACCUGAAGAAAAAGCAUCGGCUAACUCCGUGCCAGCAGCCGCGGUAAUACGGAGGAUGCGAGCGUUAUCCGGAUUUAUUGGGUUUAAAGGGUGCGCAGGCGGAAUGUCAAGUCAGCGGUAAAAUUUCGGGGCUCAACCCCGUCGUGCCGUUGAAACUGGCGUUCUUGAGUGAGCGAGAAGUAUGCGGAAUGCGUGGUGUAGCGGUGAAAUGCAUAGAUAUCACGCAGAACUCCGAUUGCGAAGGCAGCAUACCGGCGCUCAAC